AAUGGGCGCAAGCCUGAUCCAGCAAUGCCGCGUGCAGGAAGAAGGCCUUCGGGUUGUAAACUGCUUUUGUACGGAGCGAAAAGGUUCGGGUUAAUACCCUGGGCUCAUGACGGUACCGUAAGAAUAAGCACCGGCUAACUACGUGCCAGCAGCCGCGGUAAUACGUAGGGUGCAAGCGUUAAUCGGAAUUACUGGGCGUAAAGCGUGCGCAGGCGGUUUUGUAAGACAGGCGUGAAAUCCCCGGGCUCAACCUGGGAAUGGCGCUUGUGACUGCAAAGCUGGAGUGCGGCAGAGGGGGAUGGAAUUCCGCGUGUAGCAGUGAAAUGCGUAGAUAUGCGGAGGAACACCAAUGGCGAAGGCAAUCCCCUGGGCCUGCACUGACGCUCAUGCACGAAAGCGUGGGGAGCAAACAGGAUUAGAUACCCUGGUAGUCCACGCCCUAAACGAUGUCAACUGGUUGUUGGUCCUUAGCUGGAUCAGUAACGAAGCUAACGCGUGAAGUUGACCGCCUGGGGAGU
rnacentral:rRNA from 1 species